UGUAUCGGAAGCCUGACGAGGAUGAGAACCUCCGGGGGCAAGAGGUUCGACCCGAGCGCAGCGAGAGAACGUUGCUUCAGCAACGGCCCGCAGGGCGAGCCACCCUCUAUCACCGGCAG
rnacentral:sRNA from 1 species